CCAAAACCAAAUUGCAAUGUUUCAGUGUUAAAAUCCAGUCAAUUGGGAAACAGUAUCUGUUUGUUUACUCUCACAUCACCAGCUAUUUUUUGGUCAGCUAUUUUUUGGUCCAAAUGCUUAAGCAGCAUUGAGAGUUAAAGACAUCCAAUUACUUUCAGCUCCAGUACUCAGUGGGACUGUUUUCCCAUGUGUGGUAGUUAGGUUUUCAUUACUAGGCAUCCAUGAAGAAGAUGCAAAGUUUACUGGAACUGGAAGAUAUAAGAGAAAGUUAGCUAGCUGGCUAGUUGCUAUCUGGAGACGUUAUAUCAUGUUCUGACUGAAGUAUUUCUUUUAAAAAACUGAACUGCUAUGGCUAUUGACCUUAACAAUAAAAGAAAACUAAAUACCAGAAAUGUUUGGAGGGUUAGUAAAGUUUGGCUAGUUGACAGAAUUAUAUGUUACUUACAGAGCCAACGUUAAGCUAAUUUACCACAGGGACGAUGCAAGAUGAAACUUACACUGUUCUCUAACUUAAACACUACUAACACUACUACAAGUACACUAAUUGAAAAAGAAAAAGGCUUAGGGGCCAAGAAUGACAGCUGAAUUUUGUUUUGGAGCUCUAGUCAUUUCAGCAGAUAGCAUUAGUUUGCUUGCUAGCUAGCAUAGAUUAGCAAAUUCAGUUUUCAACAUGUAACAUGGCUGCAAAUACAAAUAGUUUCAUUAAUUGAGACUUGAAAAUAAAGUGAAAUGCAUUUUCCUUUAUUUGUUAACCUUACUGAAAUCCAGAAUACUUAUAUGUAUUUUCAAAAUGUAUGCUUUUUUUUUCAGAUGGCUGAAAAUGUUUCAGUGCAUUCUCACGUCCUAACCCCAUACUCUUUAUUAGUUACACAAAAAUGUCAAAUGUGUUUGUUUUCAUUAAAAGAACUAGACAAACUAAACCAUCAGAAAUAUCUUUUUAAAGCUUUUAUUUAGUUUUUGUUAGUUUUUUUUUGUCUUUUCAGAUGUUCUUGAUUCUGUGACUUUCAGCACGAAUAAUCAAUCCACUUUGAUGCUUUUUGGCGGGGUUUUGUGCUUUUGUUGUUUAUCUCCAUUAUGUUUUUGUGACCGCUGCAAUGUUUAGAAUAUGAACGUUUUCCGAGCAGAAAAUUUGCAAGUUUAUAUAUUUGUACCAAACACCGACUGAGUAUUGACACAUUUGUAAGUGAUGCUUUAUCACAUGUGAGAAUUUGCAGAUCUGUUCAGUGUUUCUGUUCAGUAUCAAUAAAACCAAAAAACA
ensembl:lncRNA